AGGAGUUUAGUCGGUGCCGGUCCCGAAACGCGUUCACGUCUGGACAUUCCAUCGGGACACGAUAUCUAAGAUGGCAACAGACAUGUACAUUUGAUAGGGCAGUCGAUUCGAAGGGGAUAGCCGACUCGGUUCAACCAGAACAAUACGGCAUAAUGAGCGGCUGACGAGGUGUAAUACGCGGCAUGAACGGAUAGUUGAGGGACCGGUGGUUGCUCAGUUCAUCCCUUGAAAUUUUCCGAAACGACUCAGCUUCUUCAGGGGGGGUGUGAUAUCGCUUUCCGUUCAAGCAACUCGUCGUGCACGGGCUUUCCGCGCGAAACAGACGUGCUUGUGUGGGAAGUUAAAGCAUUCUCGAUGGCACGCCCGUGACCAAUGGUCCCACAGGAUAAAGGCGGGAGAGGAAGAAAGCGAUUCUCACACCUUAGUGGAUAGAGGGAGAA